rnacentral:rRNA from 1 species
UACAGAGGGUGCAAGCGUUGUUCGGAAUCAUUGGGCGUAAAGCGCGUGUAGGCGGCUUUGCAAGUCGGGUGUGAAAUCCCUCGGCUCAACCGAGGAAGUGCGCCCCGAAACUGCAGAGCUUGAGUACCGGAGAGGAUGGCGGAAUUCCCGAAGUAGAGGUGAAAUUCGUAGAUAUCGGGAGGAACACCGGUGGCGAAGGCGGCCAUCUGGACGGAUACUGACGCUGAGACGCGAAAGCGUGGGGAGCAAACAGG